GAAGGGGAUGAAAACACCCCUCAUUUUCCAUCGACUUCUCUUUCUCGGUCUCAUAACCAGCCACACCAUCCAUUCUCUCAAAAUUCCAAAAAUCUUAAAACCUCAUUUCCUCUAGCCAAAAAAUCGCAAUCACCCUUCACCCGUGGAAAGAAAAUUUGCAACGGAACUCCGCCGCUCCCAAUUCGAGAACUCCUCACUCUAACUCCGAAUACCAACAAGAAGCCGGAAGACUGAAGAUCGCAUUUUGCAUUCUAAUUUCGCAGACUUUGUCGAGUUGCCGCUUGAGCUGAAGCAGCUAAAGUUGAUUGUUUUAAUUAGUUGUAUAUGUCACCCAGUUUACUCGUUCCUACUGCUGAUCAACAGGGAUGAGUUUCACAGCAGAUUACUUGAGGAAAAAUGUGCAUCCUCAUCUACAAAAUAACAAAGAAGAAAGAAGAGUGAAUUACUGAAUGUAGUGUGAAGAGUUGGGACAUGGAAAAUAUUUUUAUGUGAUUGUAUUUGUAUGAACAACUUAAUCCACAACUUUUUCUAUGUAAUGUAUUAUUCAAAUACCUAUCUUUUGUUCAUUAUUACA